GAAUAUUGCACAAUGGAGGAAACUCUGAUGCAGCGACGCCGCGUGAAUGACGAAGGCCUUCGGGUCGUAAAAUUCUGUCCUUGGGGACGAUAAUGACGGUACCUUAGGAGGAAGCCCCGGCUAACUACGUGCCAGCAGCCGCGGUAAUACGUAGGGGGCAAGCGUUGUCCGGAAUUAUUGGGCGUAAAGGGUGCGUAGGCGGCCCUUUAAGUCAGAUGUGAAAGCCCACGGCUUAACCGUGGGACUGCAUUUGAAACUGGAGGGCUUGAGUGUCGGAGAGGGCAGUGGAAUUCCCAGUGUAGCGGUGGAAUGCGUAGAUAUUGGGAGGAACACCAGUGGCGAAGGCGACUGCCUGGACGAUAACUGACGCUGAGGCACGAAAGCUAGGGGAGCAAACA
rnacentral:rRNA from 1 species